AUUGAACGCUGGCGGCAGGCCUAACACAUGCAAGUCGAGCGAGAGGCGGACGGGUGAGUAAUGUAUGGGGAUCUGCCCGAUAGAGGGGGAUAACUACUGGAAACGGUGGCUAAUACCGCAUACUAUCGGGUGAACCCAUAUGGGAUUUGCUAGUAGGUGGGGUAAAGGCUCACCUAGGCGAAGAUCGCUAGCUGGGGUGAGAGGAUGAUCCGCCACACUGGAACUGAGACACGGCCCAGACUCCUACGGGAGGCAGCAGUGGGGAAUGUUGCACAAGGGGCGCAAGCCUGAUACAGCCAUGCCGCGUGUAUGAUGAAGGCCUUAGGGUUGUAAAGUACUUUCAGCGGGGAGGCGUUACCCGCAGAGGAAGCACCGGCUAACUCCGUGCCAGCAGCCGCGGUAAUUC
rnacentral:rRNA from 1 species